UACGAGGGGGGCAAGCGUUGUUCGGAAUUACUGGGCGUAAAGCGUGCGUAGGUGGUUUGUUAAGUCUGUUGUGAAAGCCCCGGGCUCAACCUGGGAAUGGCAAUGGAUACUGGCAGGCUAGAGUGCGGUAGAGGGUAGUGGAAUUCCCGGUGUAGCGGUGAAAUGCGUAGAGAUCGGGAGGAACACCAGUGGCGAAGGCGGCUACCUGGACCAGCACUGACACUGAGGCACGAAAGCGUGGGGAGCAAACAGG
rnacentral:rRNA from 1 species